rnacentral:tRNA from 1 species
GCAUCAGUGGGUUAGUAAAGUUGGGAAACGCUGCGGAAGCGCGCGGAAGCCUCAGAAAUCGUUGAAGUGCUGCCCUCCGAAGGCAAAGGUCACACGUUCGAAUCGUGUCGGGUGCGCCA